rnacentral:rRNA from 1 species
UUGGCUCAGGAUGAACGCUGGCGGCGUGCCUAACACAUGCAAGUCGAACGGAGUUACGAGAGCUUGCUUUUGUAACUUAGUGGCGGACGGGUGAGUAAUGCGUGAGCAACCUGCCUUUCAGAGGGGGACAACAGUUGGAAACGACUGCUAAUACCGCAUAAUGUAUUUUGGGGGCAUCCCCGGAAUACCAAAGGAGCAAUCCGCUGAAAGAUGGGCUCACGUCUGAUUAGCUAGUUGGUGGGGUAACGGCUCACCAAGGCUGCGAUCAGUAGCCGGACUGAGAGGUUGAACGGCCACAUUGGGACUGAGAUACGGCCCAGACUCCUACGGGAGGCAGCAGUGGGGAAUA